rnacentral:lncRNA from 1 species
GGGCCGGGCCGCCAGCAGCGCGGGGCGGCGGAGAGACAGGUUUGUUUUAAUGUGGAAGUGGAUCUCUCAGCUUAAUGCAAAUCAAACAAACAAAGGAAAAAAGGAUGUCAAGCGUGGUCUUCCUUGAUUUUGAUGAAGGACCGUUGCAGGAAGCCAUGGAUAUUUGUUGUGAGUUAUAACAUCUUAAUUCCAAGAGUCUAGUAUAAAUGUAC